rnacentral:rRNA from 1 species
GACGAACCCGUGCGAACGUUGUUCGGAAUCACUGGGCUUAAAGGGCGCGUAGGCGGCUUAUCAAGUCAGGGGUGAAAUCUUGCGGCUUAACCGUAAUAAGCCUUUGAUACUGAUAGGCUCGAGGGAGGUAGGGGCAUGUGGAACUUCCGGUGGAGCGGUGAAAUGCGUUGAUAUCGGGAGGAACUCCAAUGGCGAAGGCAGGCCACUGGGCGUUAUCUGACGCUGAGGCGCGAAAGCGUGGGUAGCAAACAGGAUUAGAAACCCUGGUAGU